rnacentral:lncRNA from 1 species
AAAAAUUACCCACUGGAUCUCUUCCAGUCCCAGCUGAUUAGAAAUUGCAAGAGAGGGCAGCACAUUCCUUGGUGACGAUGAAUUGUAUUCUCACGAACUGAUUCAUGAAAACAUGGAAAAAUGCACCCAAUACUCUUGAGUUAACCAGAGUCUAGAAACAUUGCUUCUUCAUGGCUUUCCACACCCAGCCCACCCAGACACUGUGGUUCCUUUCACUACUGACAAAGUCUUCUAGAAAUUAAGAUUAGGUGUCAUUCUUUAUCCUGUUUCCCAAAUUUCUAUCACUGUACUGCUGAGAUUUGGGUUAUGAUGGAGAGGGGAGCCCUUUUGAAUUGAUAUCUGGUUCUUGCUUACAUUUGGCCCCUAGAGAGAAAUGUGGAGUUUUUAUUGAUUCUACACAGGUAUGCACUUGCCUGCACACAUGCACAUUCAACUUUACAUUCUGCCUGUCUACUCCUUUUGAACUUCUAGUCUGUAUCAUCCAGUGCCAUUGGGCAAUGACGUGGGCUGCAGGGUGGGCUCCUGACAGCUCCUCAGUGUCCUGUCCAAUGUGGUUCCACAGCCUUGCAUGCACAAGGCUCUGGGUUCAAUCCCCAGCACCCCCAGAAAACAAACAAAAAAGUACCAAUGUGAUUUUCCAGUCCUUUCCCCUCACCUCUGUGGUCUCCCUUCUCCAUAGCCAACACAGGGAGGAAAACCAGAAUGGUCUUCUCCCUGAACUGAUAAGAAUGACAUCAACAGAGCUAAGCACAGUGGCACAGGCCUGUAAUCCUAGCAACUCAGGAGGCUGAGGCAGGAAGAUCACAGAUUAGAGUCCAGCCUCCAUAAUUUAGCAAGACCUAGUCUCAAAAUAAAAAAUAAAAAGGGCUGGAGCUGGAGGUUGUAUCUCAGUGAUAGAGCAUCCCCAGGUUC